rnacentral:rRNA from 1 species
GUAGGUGGUUCAAUAAGCGAAUAGUGAAAGCUGGUGGCUCAACCAUUCAGAUUAUUAUUCGAACUGUUGAACUCGAGAGCAGAAGAGGUAGCNUGGAAUUUCUAGUGUAGGAGUGAAAUCCGUAGAUAUUAGAAGGAACACCGAUGGCGUAGGCAGGCUACUGGGCUGUUUCUGACACUGAGGCACGAAAGCGUGGGGAGCCGAACCGGAUUAGAUACCCGGGUAGUCCACGCCGUAAACGAUGGAUACUAGCUGUUCGGGGUAUCGACCCCCUGAGUAGCGAAGCUAACGCGUUAAGUAUCCCGCCUGUGGAGUACGAUCGCAAGAUUAAAACAUAAAGGAAUUGACGGGGACCCGCACAAGCGGUGGAUCAUGUUCUUUAAUUCGAUGAUAACCGAUAAACCUUACCAGGUCUUGACAUCCUUGGAAUCUUUCAGAAAUGAGAGAGUGCUUUUUAAGAGCCAAGUGACAGGUGAUGCAUGGCCGUCGUCAGCUCGUGUCGUGAGAUGUUUGGUUAAGUCCAUCAACGAGCGCAACCCUUGUCAGUAGUUGUAUUUUUCUACUGAGACUACCCCGGUNACGGGGAGGAAGGAGGGGGAUGACGUCAGGUCAGUAUUUCCCUUACGUCCUGGGCUAANAAACGUGAUACAAUGGCUAGUAAGCCNGAAUUCA